CCUACGGGUGGCAGCAGUGGGGAAUAUUGGACAAUGGGCGAAAGCCUGAUCCAGCCAUGCCGCGUGUGUGAAGAAGGCCUUCGGGUUGUAAAGCACUUUCAGUGGGGAAGAAAGCCUUGGGGCUAAUACCCUCGAGGAAGGACAUCACCCACAGAAGAAGCACCGGCUAACUCCGUGUCAGCAGCCGCGGUAAUACGGAGGGUGCGAGCGUUAAUCGGAAUUACUGGGCGUAAAGCGCGCGUAGGCGGUCUGAUAAGCCGGUUGUGAAAGCCCCGGGCUCAACCUGGGAACGGCAUCCGGAACUGUCAGGCUAGAGUGCAGGAGAGGAAGGUAGAAUUCCCGGUGUAGCAGUGAAAUGCGUAGAGAUCGGGAGGAAUACCAGUGGCGAAGGCGGCCUUCUGGACUGACACUGACGCUGAGGUGCGAAAGCGUGGGUAGCGAACAGGAUUAGAUACCCCAGUAGUC
rnacentral:rRNA from 1 species